CUCAUUCUCUUUGCUUCUGAGAACCUAUGGACCUCGACACAGCUAGCCGCUGGCCUCCGACCUCGCUGUAGCUACGCCUCCGGCCUACUGUACUACAUGCCUUGGAGCUCUGAUUGUUGAGGGGGAAAGUACCAUUGAUUAGGGAAAGUACCGUUGAAGACUAUCAGUUUUGCUCUGUUAAUCGUACCUCUGCUAUGCUAUUCUAGCUAUUGCGUGUGCCUCAUCUGCUAUGGCCAGCUUUCUCCUUCAUUCGUUGGGUUGUAUUUUCUCUUAAAGUUGGAUGCUAUAACCCUAGAAAGUUCAUCUACCUCUUGUCUUCCCCUAUCGAUUUUCGGCUUAAAGUUGCACGGGUAACCUUCAAGUUCCAUCAAGCUUCAAAAACCAGCUGUUAAUUCUACUUUACAGGUUGUGUGCCCUACACCCUAGAUCUGAAAACUGCCCCUCAUUCUUCUUUACAGCCUGGCUGAUUUGAUACACCCCAAUUUUUUAUAAGAUGUUCAUCAAUUGGUUGUCCCUCACGAAGAACCACUUCUUGGUGAUUUACCAAUGAAGAGCUGUUUCAUGGUAUUUUGGGUUUUGAGAUCCGGGUGAAUUCUGAAGGGUUGAGAGAGUUGUCCAAGCAAUAUGGUGUGACGAAUGUUGAUUUGCAAAGAACUCUUCACAUGGAGAAGAGAACAAGUACUUGUGGAUUUCAAACUAGAUGCUCAUGUGCAUCAGUACGAAGGAAGCAGUGCUAGUGUGGGCACUGCCAGAGUUAAAAAUCUCUGCAUUCCUUUCAGAAAAUUUUGUGAGACUCAGAUUUUGGAAGGUUCCUAGAUGUGCCUAGUGUAGCAUGAUAGGAGCGGAUGAAGUGGUUCCUUCAUCAGAAGCUUUGAAUCCCUUGCAGCCAAGUAUUAGUAUCUGCUAACAACAUUAGAGAUUUCAAAGAUUGACAAGUUGAGAAGAGGCUAAGUUUCAGCAACAUAGAAGAAGCCUAAUUGUCUCUAUAAGAGAAUAGAUCUUUGAUUUUUGAGAGUGUCAAAGGAAAUGAAUCUAAGAGCAGAAUUGUUAAGUCAACUGGAAGCAAGAAGGAAGGCAGAGUCAUCAAGCAACUACAAAAGUCAAUUCCUUGCCAACAUGAGGAAUACACUCGUGUGGAAGCAUGCCAAAAUCAUAAUGGACAACUAAAGGAGGGUAUAAGCUCUUAAGAUAGGGGAUUUCACAUUGUGAGAAAGAGAAGAAAAUACAACCUGGUUCGGCGCCUUUAUACACUAUUCCUUUGUGAAAAACUUCAUGUUAAAACCCUUGUCUUUUGGGGAGGGAAGUGAAGCGAAAGGUCAUUAAAAAUGGCCUACUUGAUGGUGCAGCAGGGGAAUGUUUUUACUGGUGUAGCAGGGUCGUGUUUUGUUAGCAGAAGAAUGUUGUUGUGGCAAAAUGUUUGUAAAAUGCAGGACUUGGUUCAUGUAUGGUGGGUCGAAACUUUAUGGAUUAGUGUGGAUGGGGGUGUUUGUAUCUGUGCAAUACAAGAAUAUGUCUUUGUCAUGGCAUUUGGUUGAAGGUUACUGUGCGGAAGGGACUAUUGGCCUAUGUAUUCUAAUUGUUUGUGGUGGAUUGCAGUGGGUGCGUGGGAUGAAUGGUAGGUGACUGUGAGGAACUUGCUGGUGUGUAUGUUUCUAAGUUUCUUUACUGCUGAAUUUGAUAGUAUAGAAAAGGAGCUGGUGGUUUAGAAUGAAAUGAUUUUUUUCAUAUCAGAUUGUCACAUGUGGGGGUUGAGUUCAUUGGCAAGCAAGGUGGUGUGGUUUGGCUUCAUGGCAUUGUUUCAAGGAAUUUUUGGAUGAGAAUAUGGUUGUGGUGUACGCUGGUUUUGACCAUGUGGAAUGUUUUUUACUUUUUGAUGCCAGGGUUGUUGCUUGAAUGACUUGUCUAUGAUACGUGGGCAAGAGGGAAGUGGAUUUACUGGUACCUUGACUACCUUCAUUGUUUUGUGGUGGUGGAAGUGUGAGGGAGUCUUUUAUUGUUUGGCUUGGCCAUGACAGGAUUGUAUUGGUUCCAUGGUGAUAAACAGAGGUUCAGUAUGUGGUAGGCUUCCUUUUUUUAUUGGUUAUGGGCAUUAUUUAUGUAUUUUGGGUGAAUAUGUUGAUAAGCCAUGGUAAAAUGGUCAACUUGAGAGUGCUUGUACUCUUUUUCCUUCUCUAGACUUUUUUUUCCAAUUGGUUUUUUCUAGAAUGGUUUUAAUGAGACACACUCUCAAAGCAUGGUCAUCAUA